UCCCUCCUAUUUUUUAUUUUUUAUUUUUUAUUUUUUUGUCAAACUAUAGAUAUGUUAGAUUAGGUGUUAAAUUAUACCCACGCCAUCCCUCCUAUUCAAAACCUCAUGCCUAAAAAAAAAACUGAUUGAAAAGGUAGGAUUUCUGUGCUGUUCGAUUCGUCUCCGUACUCUCUGAGCUAAAAGCACUUUCUUCUCCUCUCUCUCUCUCUCUCUUCAAUUUGAAUUCUACUUUCUCUCUCUAGAACUUCAAUCUCUUUGUAUUUCUUGAAAACCGUCUUUAUUUUGCAGAUUAAACUGCGAAAUUUGAAAAACCCUGUUCGAGAUUUUGCUUGAAAUCGUGGUUUGGGGUUUAAAUAGCAGGGUCAGAUCUAGUACUCCGAGAAGUACUUCGAUGAUAUCUACGAGUACAGGCAUGUGGUUGUUCCCCAGACGGUCGCGCUGCCUGUACUUGGCUUGGGCCAACCCUGGAGGAGAGGAGUGAUGGGGGUGAGAUAUCGGCCGUCGACGACCCGAGGGAGAGCAAAGGUUGGUGAGGGAGAAAGAAGAUUGCAUGGAUACUACUAGAAUAUUAAUUGUUUGGCAACCAGUUUUAAUUAAGUUCAAGUAGGACACGUGUCUUUAUUUGAUUGUCCACAUAGGAUUGUCAGUAUAAAAAGUCCUAAUUGGUCAGGA